rnacentral:lncRNA from 1 species
UAAACCUUUCCAUAUAUCAAUCCUUGUUCUCUUUCAAAUUCUUGGCUUUGUGGGCCAAUAUCUGUUUUUUUUUUUUUUAAGAUUUAUUUAUUAUUAUAAAUAAGCACACUGUAGCUGUCUUCAGACACCCCGGAAGAGGGCAUCAGCUCUCAUUACGGGUGGUUGUGAGCCACCAUGUGGCUGCUGGGAUUUGAACUCAGAACCUUCAGAAGAGCAGUCAGUGCUCUUACUUGCUGAGCCAUCUCGCCAGCCCGUGUUGUUGAUUUUAAGUCAGGGUCUCACUAUGUAGCUCUGACUGUCCUGGAACUUGUUAUGUAAACUAGACUGGCUUGAAAAAUCAUGGAAAUCUGCUUGCCUCCACUUCCUGAGCCUUGAGCUCCAAGGUGUUUGCCCUCUGAUUUCACUGCUUAAUUCACACAACUUUCGGCUCAGGCCUCGCUUUUCAUCACUGAUUGCUUCUGGGUUCCUGGUGUAGUCAGCAUUCUCACCUCCAGGAAAUGGACUUCUGCUGUGGUGCCUCGGGUAGCCCCUUCUGGUACCUACGUACCUAGAGGAUAGUUCUCCGGGUUGGCUCUGAGGCUUGUCUUAUCAGGUCCUGUGAGGAGCACAGCCAUCCUGAGGCUGGUUCUCCUUUAUUUUUUCUGGGGACAGAGCCUGCUUCCCUCACCAUUGGCCCUCUCCCACGGGGAAAGGUCAGGGAGGCAGCUGCCUUCCAUAUUGCCUGGUCUAAGCAGCAGCUUCCUUGAGGCUGUCUCCUGAUGUCAGUGUGUGGGGUUGAAGGGAUGUCCUUACUCAGCUCCAGCUGUGGUUCAGGCAUGGGGUGUGCCUCUGAGGGUUUCCUGGCCCCUGCUGUGCUCUGCAGUGUGGACUUAGAUUGUAGGUGCCUGUGGUAUCAGAGGUCAGGAUGAGCAGCUGGCCCUGGCCUUCCUGUGAGCCAGGUUCCUCAGUGACUCAGAUGUCCAGGGGUCACAGGUUCCACUUUCCUAAGAAUCCUAUCUCUACUAGCUGUGAAAGGCACUCCUAGGAAGACUGUCAGAGAAUGCCGAGCGCACAGGACAAAGCAUUUGUCACCCAGAGUCCUCCUGUGGUGGAAGUGUGCGAGAGGCUGAGGACAUCGCUGUAGUCAGUGGACUUCUGUAUGCUAAAUCCAUACUUUUUCCACUUUGGCUGAAGAUGCCCUGACUGUAGUAUUGUGUUAAAAGGAGGGAGAUGUCUCCAGAUGAGAGAAAAGGCGCAUGUCUGGUUAGGUUUCUAUGGCUGGGAUAAACACCACUAUCAAAAGCAACUUAGAGAGGAAAGGUUCAUUUGUCUUACAGGUCAUAGUCCAUCCUGACGGGAAGGAAAUGAGGACAGGAACUGAGGCAGAGGCUGUGGAGGAGCCUCCUCCUGGCACCUCAUGCUUCCUCAGCUUGCUUUCUUAGAUAACUGAGGACAGUCUGCCCAGGGAUGAAACCGGCCACAGGGCACUGAGCCCUCCCAUUAAGGAAAGGCUCCAUACAUUUUUCUCUACUUUAAAAAAUCUUAUUUACGUUUUGAGAAUCUUAUACAUUUUGAUAACAUUUCUCUUCUUGUAACUGUUCCUAGGGUCUCCCCAUCUUCCUACCUAUCCUACUGCAUAUUUUUUCUUUCUGUUAAAAACAAAAUAACACACACACACACACACACACACACACACACACACACACACACGACUAUUGAGUCUGAUUUGUAUUGGCCAACUACUCCUGAGCUUGCGGGCUUCCUUGGCAAGCGGUUAAUAUAUCCAGUGUUACUCCCUGAAGAAACCUGACUUUCUCUUCCCCAUAACCUCUCAGUUGCAAUGAGCUUCUUGCUAGGGUGCGCCUCACGCCUGCUCCCCCUUCUCUGUGCUGGGAUUCUGUCUGACUUGUCCUCGCGUGUGCCAUCAGCUCGUGUGCAUCUUACCUGUCGGGUCUGGAGAGUGCUGUUUGCGCCAUAUCUGGCUCCUACAGUCUUUCUGCCUCCUUGUCUACAGAGAUCUCUGAGUUUUGAGAGGAGGGGUGUGAAAAAGACACCCAGUUUAGGGCCCAGGGUUUCAAUAUUGGAGACAGUUUUCUCAAUUGAAGUUCCCUUUUCUCAGGAUGACUCUAGUGUUUGUGCCCCAGAAUGGGACUGAGAGACUAAUGUUUUCUCUAAGGCGGGAAUUCCUAGCCUUGCCUCCUUCUGCACUUCCUCUGUGUCCUCAUCCCUUGGACAGUUCCUAGGCUGCUAGGGUGGAGAAAGAAUCAAGGAUCCAGAAGUAGGUUGGGAUGUACCUCUGUUCACAGACUGCCCAGCAGGCAUGAAGGCUCAGCUUCAAUCCUAGCACCAUACAAAUCAGGUGUGGCCGGGCGUGGUGGCACACGCCUUUGAUCAGCACUCGGGAGGCAGAGGCAGGCAGAUUUCUGAGUUCAAGGCCCACCUGGUGGUCUACAAAGUGAGUUCCAGGACAGCCAGGGCUAUACAGAGAAACCCUGUCU